GAGAGACAUGGCGGCCACCAAGACCGACGGUCUCCGGCGUUUCGGGGAGGAAACGCCCGCUCAAUAAGAGCGACUGCUCAAAAAAGGCCCGCUGCGAUUAUCCCCCGCAGCGGGCCAAAUUUUUUGGC
rnacentral:sRNA from 1 species